rnacentral:rRNA from 1 species
UACGAAGGGGGCUAGCGUUGCUCGGAAUUACUGGGCGUAAGGCGCACGUAGGCGGGUUGUUAAGUCGGGGGUGAAAUCCUGGAGCUCAACCCCAGAACUGCCUUCGAAACUGACGAUCUUGAGUUCGGGAGAGGUGAUUGGAAUUCUCGGUGUAGCAGUGAAAUGCGUAGAUAUCGAGAGGAACACCAGAGGCGAAAGCGAAUCACUGGACAGAAUCUGACGCUGAGGCACGAAAGCUAGGGGAGCAAACGGG